rnacentral:rRNA from 1 species
UGGGGAAUUUUCCGCAAUGGGCGAAAGCCUGACGGAGCAAUGCCGCGUGGAGGUGGAAGGCCUACGGGUCGUCAACUUCUUUUCUCGGAGAAGAAACAAUGGCGGUAUCUGAGGAAUAAGCAUCGGCUAACUCUGUGCUAG